rnacentral:rRNA from 1 species
UACGUAGGGUGCGAGCGUUGUCCGGAAUUAUUGGGCGUAAAGAGCUUGUAGGCGGUUUGUCGCGUCUGCCGUGAAAAUCCGGGGCUCAACCCCGGGCCUGCAGCCGAUACGGGCAGACUAGAGUUCGGCAGGGGAGACUGGAAUUCCUGGUGUAGCGGUGAAAUGCGCAGAUAUCAGGAGGAACACCGGUGGCGAAGGCGGGUCUCUGGGCCGAUACUGACGCUGAGGAGCGAAAGCGUGGGGAGCGAACAGG